rnacentral:rRNA from 1 species
GUCGGGAGUCUUGCACAAUGGGGGAAACCCUGAUGCAGCGACGUCGCGUGUGGGAUGAAGUAUUUCGGUAUGUAAACCACUUUUGCGGGGGGCGAAAAAAAUGACGGUACCCCGCGAAUAAGCCCCGGCUAACUACGUGCCAGCAGCCGCGGUAAUACGUAGGGGGCGAGCGUUGCUCGGAUUGACUGGGCGUAAAGCGCGCGUAGGCGGUCCAUUAAGUGUGCGGUGAAAUUCGGAGGCUCAACCUCCGUCCCGCCGCGCAAACUGAUGGUCUUGAGAUUGGGAGGGGGAUGCGGAAUUCCUGGUGUAGCGGUGAAAUGCAUUGAUAUCAGGAGGAACACCGGCGGCGAAAGCGGCAUCCUGGCUUAUAUCUGACGCUGAGGCGCGAAAGCGUGGGUAGCAAACGGGAUUAGAUACCCUAGUAGUCC